rnacentral:rRNA from 1 species
GCCACAGGCCCCGGUAAGCGCGCCAUUGCUUAAGUCGUGUCAUGAUUUGCUCACGACUACCAUCUGCUUCUAUCGAGCAGUUCAAUUCGUUUCACGUAUGUCUUUGCCUCUGCCCUUCAGCAGAAACGUCUUAUAGAGAUUUGUGUUCCUCCGCGAAGGCCGUUCUCGCUCAGAGAUCGCUUCCCCGGCGGGAGACGCCCCUUUCGGGGAGGGCCUCCCGGCGAGCCACAGUGGGAGGUAGUUUCUUCUGGUUAAAAAAGCCGGUAACUCCGUAUGAUUUCACUCGUAGAGGGGGCCUGCGGAGGGAUCAUUACUGAGUUACCGCUCUAUAACCCUUUGUGAACAUACCUACAACUGUUGCUUCGGCGGGUAGGCCGUCCCCUGAAAAGGACGCCUCCCGGCCCGGACCGGACCCCCUGUGGGGCCGGACUCGGCGCCCGCCGGAGGAUAACCAAACGCUAUUUUAACGACGUUUCUUCUGAGUGGCAUAAGCAAAAUAAUCAAAACUUUUAACAACGGAUCUCUUGGUUCUGGCAUCGAUGAAGAACGCAGCGAAAUGCGAUAAGUAAUGUGAAUUGCAGAAUUCAGUGAAUCAUCGAAUCUUUGAACGCACAUUGCGCCCGCCAGCAUUCUGGCGGGCAUGCCUGUUCGAGCGUCAUUUCAACCCUCAAGCUCUGCUUGGUGUUGGGGCUCUACGGUCGACGUAGGCCCUCAAAGGUAGUGGCGGACCCUCCCGGAGCCUCCUUGCGUAGUAACAUUCGUCUCGCACUGGGAUCCGGAGGGACUCUUGCCGUAAAACCCCCCAAUUUUCAAGGUGACCUCGGAUCAUGUAAGCUGACCGAAUUUG